rnacentral:rRNA from 1 species
CGGGACGGGUGAGUAACGCGUGGGCAACCUGCCUCAUACAGGGGGAUAGCAUCGGGAAACUGGUGGUAAAACCGCAUAAGCGCACGGAAACGCAUGUUUCAGUGUGAAAAGGAGAAAUCUGGUAUGAGAUGGACCCGCGUCUGAUUAGCUAGUUGGAGUGGUAAAAGCACACCAAGGCAACGAUCAGUAGCCGGCCUGAGAGGGUGGACGGCCACAUUGGGACUGAGACACGGCCCAGACUCCUACGGGAGGCAGCAG